UUUUCGAGGUCGGCCGCGUGGCUGGAAGACAUGGCCACUCCAGUCGGUGUUGAGCACGGCGAGCAGUCUCAGGCCUUUAGUGAUGAUGGUGCAGUCAGCCUCAGUUUCCAAAGCCGGAAAAGGAUCCUCUAGUAGCCACGGUGUGGCAGCUGCUCUGAACCAGGACCUGGACCCGGACCCAAAGUGCCAUGUCUUUAAUGUUAGCUCCCAGCGAUGCCAGAUGGGAUCAGCACAGCCCUGCCUCUGCUGCUAAUUGUUCCUCUAAAGUAAUCGCCAUGCGUUCUUUGGGCUUCAUCUUUAAAGGAAUGAAGCAACUGAGAUUAUUCUGGAAAACCUUUUGGCAGUUAGUGAAAUUAGAGUACAACUAAGAACAUUUUCAGACCUCCACUGUGGAUGACCUGGGUAUAAUCUCACAAAUCGAUGGGACUGCAAGGAUUGUAAACUGAAAUGAACAUGAUUAUACUCUGUUGGAAGAGCCUAAGAGGAAACUGAUGCCAUGAGUUUCAGAGAGUAAUGCUUAACCCCAGUUACACAGGAUGCCGUCUUGUGUUUCCUCUUGUUUAGUUACCCACUACAGUGAUUUUGUGAUCUGCUAAUGGGUUGCCACCCACAACCAUUGCUUUAGCACUUUUACUUCAAAUCAAUGAAGGAUUGAUAAAAGUUCUCCUGGUGUCUCCGCAGAGUGCCUUCCAGGAACAGAUCUUUGCAUAGAAUAUCAGUGGUUUCCUUUUUUGUUUCAAAUAGUGGUCAGAAAAUACCCAGUGUUGACUCACCAAGGCAAUCAGCUUCCUUUUUCCCUUUUUUUGUUUUUUUUUUAACAUUUUAUAUUUUUGCUUUAUUUUAUUUUAUUUUAUUUUAUUUUAUUUUAUUUUAUUUUAUUUUUUGAGACGGAGUUCCACUCUGUCGCCAGGCUGGAGUGAAGUGGUACAAUCUUGGCUCACUGCAACCUCCACCUCCCGGGUUCAAGCAAUUCUCCUGGCUCAGCCUCCUGAGUGCUGGGACUACAGGCGCGUACCUUCUUUAGUAGAGACUGGGUUUCACCAUGUUGGCCAGGAUGGUCUCUAUCUCCUGACCUUGUGAUCUGCCUGCCUCAGCUUCCCAAAGUGCUGAGAUGACAGGUGUGAGCCAUCAGACCCAGCAUUUUUUUUUUUAAUUUAAAUUUAAAUUUUUUUUCAUUUUUUUGAGAGGUUUUUUUUGUUUUGUUUUGUUGUUGUUGUUGUUGUUGUUUUUGAGACAGUCUUGCUCUGUCACCCAGGCUGGGAGUGCAGUGGCAUGAUCUCUGCAACCUCUACCUCCCAGGUUCAAGCAAUUCUUGUGCCUCAGCCUCCCAAGUAACUGGGACUACAGGUGCACGCUACCACACCUGGCUGAUUUUUUUUGUUUUAGUAGAGACAGGGUUUCAACCAUGUUGCCCAGGUUGGUCUCAAACUCCUGAGCUCAGGCAAUCCACCCGCCUUGGCCUCCCAAAGUGCUAGGAUUACAGGUGUGAGCCACCACACCCAGCUAUUUUUUCUUUCGUUUUUUAAUUUUAAAGUUGGGGGGGGGUCUCAAUUUGUUACCCUGGCUGGUCUCGAACUCCCGGACUUAAGCGAUCCUCUGGCUCCAAGCCCACUACCAGUCUCAGGUUUCUUUACUAAAAGAUCACUACCUUUUUUUCUCUUAUCUGCUGCCAUGUGAGAUGUGGCUUUCACCUUCCGCCAUGAUUGUGAGGCCUUCCCAGCCAUGUAGAACUGUAAGUCCAAUAAACCUCUUUUGUAAAUUAAAAAAAAAAAAUCACUAUUUAAGAUACUAGGAUGGAUUGUGACUGUUGAGGAGUACUUACAUAUCCUACAUUUGACUACAUUAUUUCCAAACCAAGUAUUCCAUCCAAAGGAACAUACUGCUAUCAUAGAGACCAAGGAGGGACUGUUUAAGGUUGCCAAGGUGAAGCGAGCUGAGAGGCUUUGUCCUCGUGCCAGUAACUCUGAAAUCUCUCUUAAUUCCUGCUGUCCAGGCAGCAGAAUGCCAUGGUUUCCCCAAGUAGGUAGCUGCUUUAGCAGUUAAAGCCCAAAUGUCUGUUCUGUUGAUCAGAGGUCUCUGAAUUUCUGAAGUGGUGUUUCGUUUCUGGUGACUGAGUUAAUCCUUUACAAUCCCUCUUGUAAAGUGUGCUAAUAGAAAGAAUCCACCUUUCAAAGCUGCAGAACCAGACCGUGCCCUAAAUUGACCAACGUAACUGAUGUGCCUCAGGAAGUCUCUUGCCAGCUGUCCCUGUGAAGACCCCCCUCCUCCCCCCCAGCUGCUGCCUUGCACACUGAAGCAUCUCAGACUGUGCAAAGCCGUGUAGUCAUCAAGACAGUAAAUCCCAGGGCUUGGUUAAGUGCUGUGUGAUAACUUGUUUGGAUGAGACUUAACUUAAAACCACUUACAAUAAACUUGGGAAACUAC
rnacentral:lncRNA from 10 species